AUUGAACGCUGGCGGCAGGCCUAACACAUGCAAGUCGAGCGGAGCGGCGGACGGGUGAGUAAUGCCUAGGAAUCUGCCUGGUCGUGGGGGAUAACGUCAGGAAACGGGCGCUAAUACCGCAUACUAUCAGAUGAGCCUAGGUCGGAUUAGGUAGUUGGUGGGGUAAAGGCCUACCAAGGCUACGAACCGUAACUGGUCUGAGAGGAUGAACAGUCACACUGGAACAGAGACACAGUCAAAACACCGACGGGAGGCAGAAGUGGGGAGUAUUGGACAAAUGGGUAAAGCCUGAGCCAGCCAUUGGACGUGUGUGAAGAAGGUCUUCGGAGUGUAAAGCACUUUAAGUAGGGAGGCGUUACCAACAGAAUAAGCACCGGCUAACUUCGUGCCAGCAGCCGCGGUAAUAC
rnacentral:rRNA from 1 species